UCGCGAAUACUUGGCACACGAUAGAGAGAGAGAGAGAGAGAAGAGUGUUGUAAGACAAUAUGCAUGGAUACAUUAUGAUGGUACUUAGUGCCAUCUCGAGAGAGAGAG